UACGAAGGGGGCUAGCGUUGCUCGGAAUCACUGGGCGUAAAGCGCGUGUAGGCGGCAGACCAAGUCGGCGGUGAAAGCGCCCGGCUCAACUGGGCGAGGUCCGUGGAAACUGGUCAGCUGGAGGACGGUAGAGGCGAGUGGAAUUCCCGGUGUAGUGGUGAAAUGCGUAGAGAUCGGGAGGAACACCUGUGGCGAAGGCGGCUCGCUGGGCCGGUCCUGACGCUGAGACGCGAAGGCGUGGGGAGCGAACAGG
rnacentral:rRNA from 1 species